UGCCAGCAGCCGCGGUAAUACGGAGGGGGUUAGCGUUGUUCGGAAUUACUGGGCGUAAAGCGUACGUAGGCGGAUCAGAAAGUAUGGGGUGAAAUCCCAGGGCUCAACCCUGGAACCGCCUCAUAAACUCCUGGUCUUGAGUUCGAGAGAGGUGAGUGGAAUUGCGAGUGUAGAGGUGAAAUUCGUAGAUAUUCGCAGGAACACCAGUGGCGAAGGCGGCUCACUGGCUCGAUACUGACGCUGAGGUACGAAAGUGUGGGGAGCAAACAGGAUUAGAUA
rnacentral:rRNA from 1 species